UCCGGUUUGUCACCGGCAGUCCCAUUAGAGUGCCCAACUGAAUGUAGCAACUAAUGGCAAGGGUUGCGCUCGUUGCGGGGCUUAACCCAACAUCUCACGACACGAGCUGACGACAGCCAUGCACCACCUGUACACGACCCUUUAAAGGACCCGACAUCUCUGCCGGAUUUCCGUGUAUGUCAAACCCAGGUAAGGUUCUUCGCGUUGCAUCGAAUUAAGCCACAUGCUCCGCCGCUUGUGCGGGUCCCCGUCAAUUCCUUUGAGUUUUAGCCUUGCGGCCGUACUCCCCAGGCGGGGCAUUUAAUGCGUUAGCGCCGGCACGGGAGGAGUCGACACCUCCCACACCUAAUGCCCAUCGUUUACGGCGUGGACUAC
rnacentral:misc_RNA from 1 species